CUCUAAGGGGAGUUAACUCAAAAAUAACCUUUGAAGUGAAAGACCCCCAAAGUGGGGAGACCUUCACUCAAGUCUUGGGAUGAUGCAACUCCCCCAAGAACUCACAAGAGACC
rnacentral:pre_miRNA from 14 species